rnacentral:rRNA from 1 species
CAGAACGAACGCUGGCGGCGUGCUUAACACAUGCAAGUCGUACGAGAAAUCCUGAGCAAUCGGGAGAGUAAAGUGGCGCACGGGUGAGUAACGCGUGGGUAACCUGCCCUUGGAUUGGGGAUAACCUCGCGAAAGCGGGGUUAAUACCGAAUAAUAUGCCGAUUCCCAAGGGAGUUGGCAUCAAAGAUGGCCUCUGCUUGCAAGCUAUUGUCUAAGGAUGGGCCCGCGUACCAUUAGCUAGUUGGGAGGGUAAUGGCCUACCAAGGCUACGAUGGUUAGCUGGUCUGAGAGGACGACCAGCCACACUGGAACUGAGACACGGUCCAGACUCCUACGGGAGGCAGCAGUGGGGAAUCUUGCGCAAUGGGGGAAACCCUGACGCAGCGACGCCGCGUGGGUGAUGAAGGCCUUCGGGUCGUAAAGCCCUGUCAGGUGGGAAGAAACGUAUCGGUGCUAAUAUCAUCGAUAUUUGACGGUACCACCGGAGGAAGCACCGGCUAACUCCGUGCCAGCAGCCGCGGUAA